CACCCCACAAGAAAGGUUUCUGGAUCUCAGACAUCUUCAUAGGAAGUCCACAUUGCAGAGAUCUGAGCACUUUGACAAGAUCACUGUCUUGGGCAUCCCACAGCCAGCUUUCUUUUGGCUCACUUUGUAUACGAGUUCUGAGGCAAACCAAAUAAUUCCUUUAUAGUGCUCAGUCUAAAUUAAACGUUUCUUGUCAAAAGUUU